GAUGAACGCUAGCGGCAGGCCUAACACAUGCAAGUCGAGGGGUAACAUAGAAAAGCUUGCUUUUCUGAUGAGACCGGCGCACGGGUGCGUAACGCGUAUACAACCUACCUUUUAGCGGGGAAUAGCCCAGGGAAACUUGGAUUAAUGCCCCAUAGUAUAUGGACUUCUCCUGAAGUUUAUAUUAAACAUUUAUGGCUAUUAGAUGGGUAUGCGUCCUAUUAGUUAGUUGGUAAGGUAACGGCUUACCAAGGCAGCGAUAGGUAGGGGUCCUGAGAGGGAGAUCCCCACACUGGUACUGAGACACGGACCAGACUCCUACGGGAGGCAGCAGUGAGGAAUAUUGGACAAUGGGCGAGAGCCUGAUCCAGCCAUGCCGCGUGCAGGAAGACUCGCCCUAGUGGGUUAGUAAACUGUCUUUUACAGAGGAAGAACCCACCCCACGUGUGGGGGUUUGACGGUACUCUGCGAAUAAGGAUCGGCUAACUCCGUG
rnacentral:rRNA from 1 species